rnacentral:rRNA from 1 species
GACGAACGCUGGCGGCGUGCCUAAUACAUGCAAGUCGAGCGCUGAAGGUUGGUACUUGUACCGACUGGGUGAGCAGCGCACGGGUGAGUAACGCGUGGGGAAUCUGCCUGUGAGCGGGGGACAACAUGUGGAAACGAAUGCUAAUACCGCAUAAGCACUUUAAACACAAGGGGUAAGUUUGAAAGAUGCAAUUGCGUGACUCAAAGAUGAUCCCGCGUUGUAUUAGGUAGGUGGUGAGGUAAAAGCUCAUCAACGCGAGGAUACAUAGCCGCCCUGAGAGGGUGGGCGGCCAGAUUUGGAAGGGGACACGGCCCAAUCGGCUCAGGGAGGCAGCCGAAGGGAAUCUUCGGCAAAGGAGGAAAGUCUGAUCGAGAAAGGCCGGGUGCGUGAAGAAGGUUUUCGGCUUGUAAAACGCCGUUGGUCGGGAAGAAAGUUGGUGAGAGUUGAAAGCUCACCAAGUGACGGUAACUACGCAGAAAGGGACGGCUAACUACGUG